rnacentral:rRNA from 1 species
UACGUAGGGUCCGAGCGUUGUCCGGAAUUAUUGGGCGUAAAGAGCUCGUAGGCGGUUUGUCGCGUCGACUGUGAAAACCCGCAGCUCAACUGUGGGCUUGCAGUCGAUACGGGCAGACUAGAAUUCGGUAGGGGAGACUGGAAUUCCUGGUGUAGCGGUGAAAUGCGUAGAUAUCGAGAGGAACACCUGCGGCGAAGGCGGGUUGCUGGGCUGACACUGACGCUGAGGCGCGAAAGCUAGGGGAGCGAACGGG